UGGCUGAGCAGAACUGCGCAUGCGUCACACGCACCGCGGGCGUAGGACCUCGUCGGGUGGCGGUUCACCGCAGGGCGGGGUCUAGUGCUGCCGGGAGGAGUUGCGGGUUUGGUGGGCGGUGGUGGGGGGCGGUUAGGAGGCAGCUGGCAGUGGAUAUGGCGGCGGGCCGCAGCGGGGUUGUGCUUGCCGUCUUCGGAGUGCUUAGUAUUUGUACGGUCAGCGGCUCUGGGCCCGUGGCUGAGAGGGAGACGGGCGGGGAGGCGGGCUGGACGGAGCCAUGGGAUGGUGCGGUUUUCCGGUCGCCCUCAGCGCUGGGCGCGGUCGGGGUGGCGCGCAGUCCAGGGACCGCGCGGCCAGGGAGGGAGGAGGCGGUGGACUUGCCGGUGCUGCUGUGGUGGAGCCCAGGCCUAUUUCCUCACUUUCCGGGCGACUCGGAGCGCAUCGAGUGCGCGCGCGGUGCGUGCCUGGCGUCCCGGGACCGACGGGUGCGGGGGCACUCACGGACGCGCGCGCUGCUCUUUUACGGCACUGACUUUCGCGCGUCUGAGGCGCCGCUGCCGCGCCUGGCACAUCAGAGCUGGGCGCUUCUGCACGAGGAAUCGCCCCUCAACAACUUCGUGCUGAGCCACGGGCCCGGCAUCCGCCUCUUCAAUCUCACUGCCACCUUCAGCCGCCAUUCGGACUACCCGCUGGCGCUGCAGUGGCUCCCCGGGACCGCCUACCUGCGCCGCGCGGCGCCUCCGCUACAGGAGCGCGCCGAGUGGCGCCGCCGCGGCUACGCGCCUUUGCUCUAUCUGCAGUCCCACUGCGACGUGCCUGCGGACCGGGACCGCUACGUGCGCGAGCUGAUGCGUUACAUCCCGGUGGACUCCUAUGGGAAAUGCCUGCAAAAUCGGGACCUGCCCACUUCGCGGUUACGGGACACAGCCACAGCCACCACCGAAGAUCCAGAGCUUUUGGCCUUCUUGUCUCGCUAUAAGUUCCACUUGGCCCUCGAAAAUGCCAUCUGUGAUGACUACAUGACAGAAAAACUUUGGCGCCCCAUGCAUCUCGGGGCUGUGCCUGUGUAUCGCGGCUCUCCUUCUGUGAGGGACUGGAUGCCCAACAAUCACUCCAUCAUCCUCAUUGAUGACUUUGAGUCACCUCAGAAGCUGGCAGAAUUUAUUGACUUUCUGGACAAGAAUGAUGAGGAAUACAUGAAAUACCUGGCAUAUAAGCAACCUGGGGGCAUCACCAACCAGUUCCUUCUGGAUAGUCUGAAGCAUCGGGAGUGGGGAGUGAAUGAUCCUUUGCUGCCUAACUACCUCAAUGGCUUCGAGUGUUUCGUCUGUGACCAUGAACUGGCUCGGCUGGAGGCCGAGAAAGCUCACGCAGCCUCUCCUGGGGAUAUCCCUGGCCCUGAACCUCACAUUGCCCAGCCCUCACACAUGGAUUGUCCGGUGCCCACACCUGGUUUUGGCAGUGUGGAAGAGAUUCCUGAGAAUGACAGCUGGAAGGAGAUGUGGCUGCAAGAUUAUUGGCAAGGUCUGGACCAGGGGGAAGCUCUCACUGCCAUGAUCCACAACAAUGAGACAAAGCAGAUGAAAUUUUGGGAUUAUCUACAUGAGAUCUUCAUGAAAAGGAACCAAAAUCUCUAAUUAUCCUUGCAAGAGCCUUUAACUUGGUAGAGUUAAGGAGACAGAAGUCCUUAUUCUACUAUCAGGGGCGUCUGCUGCACAACCUUAAUGAACACUGUCUUAUCAUGAGUUCAAGGAAUUCCAUUUAUAGCCACUGAUAUUUUAUCCUAAUGUUGUGUACCCACUGUCUCAGCUUGUGGUAAUAGGGCCUGUCUUCAAGGAGAGGUGGAGGUCUCCAGUUCUGAGAUUAGUGGGAAGCAAAUGCCUGAAACACCCACUUGUUUCAAAGUGCUGAUUGAACAGAAUUUUAAAAGAACUGCAUCUUUUUCUAGCCAUCUCAUUCUCUCAACUGUGAUUGGAACAACACCUUGGUACUUGUCUAAGAAUGAGUAGCUGAUGAAGAUGCAGGAGCCUUGCCACCAUCCCCACACUCAUUCUACCCUGCAUUAAACUGACUAUAGACUUGACAGCUUUUUUUACUCCUGAUUUGCCUUUUUUUUUUCCCCUUAAGAGUAUAUCAUGAAUUCCUUCUCAUCUCAUAAACAUGAAGAUUCAAUGGCUAAUAUAUGCCAUGUCAAUUUAAUGAAUUGUCCUGCUCUAUUUUAGGUUGCAGAUAGAGACUCAGGCUGGAAAUGAUGACAGAGUAUCUAUCAUUCAUAUAUAUUUAAAUGAUUUUGGAAUGUUAAAAUAGACCAGUGCAAAUCAAACUGCAGAUUUUUUAUAGGUCUUUGUCUUUUCUAUCUGCCUAAUGAACUCUUCUAUUUUACUAUUUUUAUAUGCUACCAAAGUCUCGUUUUCCCCAAAGAGUCAUGAAAAUUAUGUUGGAAAAAACAACCCAGCAAUAUAGUUGUAGUCAUUACCUCAUAUUAUGUAGCAUUUUUCACUUUAUGUGGAAUGAAUAUUCAAACGUCAUUCUAUUACCAGUAUCUGUCUGUACAACUUUGUAG